rnacentral:lncRNA from 1 species
AGAGAAACGGUCAGACAAAAAUGAUCAAAAUGUACAACUUUUCCACUUUCAUUAAUUCAAAUUCAUUGUCAUUCAGUACAAAAUAAAAUAUAGAAAAUACUCAUAUCUCCCUUUCAUUGAUGUCGAUACUUAUGGUUUAUUUCUAAUGGGGACAAUGAACAACGGAGUAUGAUGCACUUUAUUACAUGGUAGUCCGUCAUUUAGCAGACACUACGGUAGUCCAUUAUUCAGUCUUUAGCACACUACGGUAGUCCAUUAUUCAGUCAUUUAGCACACUACGGUAGUCCAUUAUUCAGUCAUUUAGCAGACACUACGGUAGUCCAUUAUUCAGUCAUUUAGCAGACAAUACGGUAGUCCAUUAUUUAUUAGUCAUUUAGCAGACACUACGGUAGUCUUUCUUCUACUCUGCAGACCAGAACGGACUUUCCCUUGGAGAGGCCUCCUCCCAGGCCUUGAGGAGGUUCACAUGAUAGGCUUGCUUCUUCUUACCCUUGUCCGAGUGCAGCACUCGUAGUCACUCCGGUAGUUAGUUAAUUAGUCAUUUAGAAGACACUACGGUAGUCCAUUUAUUCAUUUAGUAGACACUACGGUAGUCCAUUUCUUCAUUUAGCAGACACUACGGUAGUCCGUUAUUUAGUCAUUUAGCAGACACUACGGUCGUCCUUAUUCAGUUCAUUUAGCAGACACUACGGUCGUCCAUUAUUCAGUCAUUAGCAGACACGCGGUAGUCCGUUAUUUAGUCAUUUAGCAGACACUACGGUCGUCCAUUUCAGUCAUUUAGCAGACACUACGGUCGUCCAUUAUUCAGUCAUUUAGACAUAGUUACGAUCCAUUAUUCAGUCAUUUAGCAGACACUACGGUAGUCCAUUUCUUCAUUUAGCAGACACUACCGUAGUCCAUUAUUCAGUCAUUUAGCAGACACUACGGUCGUCCAUUAUUCAGUCAUUAGCAGACACUACGGUGUCCAUUUCUUCAUUUAGCAGACACUACAGUAGUCCAUUAUUCAGUCAUUUAGCAGACAACUACGGUCGUCCAUUAUUUCAUUAGCAGACACUAGUGUCCGUAUUAGUCAUUUAGCA